CAUCAAAACUUUUCAGCUAGAGUUUGAUAGAGGAAAGUAGAAUUUCUAGUGUAGAGGUGAAAUUCGUAGAUAUUAGAAAGAAUACCAAUUGCGAAGGCAGCUUUCUGGAUCAUUACUGACACUGAGGAACGAAAGCAUGGGUAGCGAAGAGGAUUAGAUACCCUCGUAGUCCAUGCCGUAAACGAUGUGUGUUAGACGUUGGAAAUUUAUUUUCAGUGUCGCAGCGAAAGCGAUAAACACACCGCCUGGGGAGUACGACCGCAAGGUUAAAACUCAAAUGAAUUGACGGGGACCCGCACAAGUAGUGGAGCAUGUGGUUUAAUUCGAAGAUACGCGCAGAACCUUACCAACACUUGACAUGUUCGUCGCGACUUUAAGAGAUUAAAGUUUUCGGUUCGGCCGGACGAAACACAGGUGCUGCAUGGCUGUCGUCAGCUCGUGUCGUGAGAUGUUGGGUUAAGUCCCGCAACGAGCGCAACCCUCACUUUUAGUUGCCAUCAUUAAGUUGGGCACUCUGAAAGAACUGCCAGUGAUAAGCUGGAGGAAGGUGGGGAUGACGUCAAGUCCUCAUGGCCCUUACGUGUUGGGCUACACACGUGCUACAAUGGUAUCUACAACAGGAAGCAAGACGGCGACGUUUAGCAAAUCCUUAAAAGAUACCUCAGUUCGGAUUGCACUCUGCAACUCGAGUGCAUGAAGCUGGAAUUACUAGUAAUCGUGGAUCAGCGUGCCACGGUGAAUGCGUUCCCGGGUCUUGUACACACCGCCCGUCACACCAUGGGAGUUGGUUCUACCUUAAGGCAAGGUUUCAAACCCUUGACCACGGUAUAGUCAGCGACUGGGGUGAAGUCGUAACAAGGUAACCGUA
rnacentral:rRNA from 1 species